GAUGAACGCUGGCGGCGUGCUUAACACAUGCAAGUCGAACGAUGAAGCAGAGCUUGCUGGGUGGAUAAGUGGCGAACGGGUGAGUAACACGUGAGUAAACUGCCCUUAACUCUGGGAUAAGCCUGGGCAACAGGGUACAUUACCGGAUAGGAGCGUCCACCGCAUGGUGGGUGCUGGAAAGAUUUAUAGGUUUUAGAUGGACACGCGGCCUAUCAGCUUGUUGGUGAGGUAAUGGAUCACCAAGGCGACGACGGGUAGCCGGCCAGAGAGGGUGACCGGCCACACGACGACUGAGAGACGGCCCAGACUCCAACGUUAGACAGCAGUGGUGAAGAUGGCGCAGACAGCUCAAGUCUGAUACAGCGACGUUCCGUGAGGAAAGACCGCCUUCUGGGAGUAAACCGCGUUCAGUAGGGAAGAAGCGAAAGUGACGGUACCUGAAGAAGAAGCACCGGCUAACUACGUG
rnacentral:rRNA from 1 species